rnacentral:rRNA from 1 species
AUGUGCUAUCCAAAAAUUGAAGGGGGUAUGGGCUUCAGAGAACUUUAUUCUUUCAAUUUGGCUAUGCUUGCAAAGCAAUGUUGGAGACUCAUCAUCAAUCCAGAUUCCCUAUGUGCACAAGUGUUGAAGGCAAAAUAUUUCCCCAAUACUAGCUUACUUCAAGCUGCACUAAAAAAUGGAGCAUCUUAUACAUGGCAAAGCAUCAUGAAGGAGCUAGAGACAUUCAAACUAGGAUAUAUUUGGAGGAUUGGCACAAGGUAG